GAGAAAAUCUGCGUUUUCUUAGACCUUCUGCCAGGUCACUCAGCUAAAUCCUGAGUUCUGUCAUAGGCUCUUGCUGACAACCCUCUUACUGAGCAACCUCACAGUUUCUCAUGCUGUGCAUUUUCCCUUGCUGGAACCCGUAAUAAACCCAACCCAGUUAACUGUAGGUGCGUUCCCAGUAGUCUUCGGGGCAUUGACACCUGUGUAAAGACACUACUGAGCAUUCGGGAAAUUUUUAUUGAGCACCUUCUAUAAACCAGGUUCCCACCCUAAGUCCUAGGAAUACUGAUCAAAGCAAACAAAAACCCCUGCCCUACAAGGCUUGAAUCUUUGCAGGGGAGACAGACAAUAAACAAGAUGAGUAAAUAAAGUAGAUAGUAGCUUGGAAGGCGGUAACGGCAGAGAAAAAAAUAAAGCAGGAUUAAUUUUAGAUGGGAAGGCUUCACUGAUCUGAAAGAGAAAAGGAGUAAGCCUGGAAGUUUGGGAAAGCAUGGGAGGAACACAAAUGCAAAGGCCCUGAAGCAGGAGGAUCUCCGCCCUGUUUGAAAAACUUCAAACAACCUGGUGACUGGAUAAAAGAGAGAGCAUUGCCCAUAAUCAUCAAGUUUGGAAUCGAAUGUCCAUUAUUCAGAAGUUGUGAAACUGUGGACUUCUACCCAAUGGAAUAUUAUGCAACUAUACAAAGAAUGAGGUUGUUUCUACAUAUUGACAUGGAUAUUCACCAGAUACCAUAAUUAUUCUUUAAGGUGCAUCCAAAGUCAUUGUGUGGUCCUGGGCUCUCAUUGACUCCUGCCUUCAGGAGCCUGCAUGUUCUGGAUACAAGAGCUGUGAGGCUUCUCUCUGGUCACACUGGCAUCCUCAAGGUCCCUGCAACAGAGCAGGCAACAGAUCAGACUCUCUCAGAGACUUUGCUCCAGCUCAGUGGUUCUCAAAGGAUGACCCAGGGAUCUCUGGUUUUUAAAAUUACAGGUGCAAAAAUCUUUGUAAAACUAUAAUGAAGCCCGUAAACAAAUGAAAGAACUUUAACACACGCAUGAAAGUUCCUCUUCAGGAUCUUAAAGAAUUGGCCUUCUGACACUGAAGUGUCCUCACCCAUGUCAUAAAGUCAUACUUACGAGAAUCACAGUGGAGAAACCUAGAGGAUACCACAUUUACCAGGCUAAUAUCACCAAAGUGGGACAUUGCCACGUUCUCCUGAUGCGGUGCCUGAGAAAAUCACAGCAUCGUUUACGCUGUACUACUGUCCGAAGACUCAUAACCUGCUUCGAAUCACUUGGAAACUCACAUCAAAGGAUACAGUAUAAAACAAUUGGCUUAGACCCUUAAAAAUAUCAUUGCCUUGAAAGAAGAAAAAAAGACAUGGGAACUGUUCCCAAUUAAAGGCAACUAAAAAACACAUGGCAAUUGAAUGCAAUGCAUGUUCUUGAAUCAGACCCUAAACUGGGGUGGGGCAGGGAGGAAUAACAGAAAGAUGACUGGUGAAAUUUAAAUAUGCAUUGUAUGAUAGAUAAUUGCAUUGGAUUACGUUAAAUUUCAUGGCUUUGGUCAUUGUGCUAUGAUUUUACAGGAGAAUAUUCUUUUUCUUAGGAAAUACUAACUGAAGUAUUUGGGGGGGGGGGAUAAAGAAAUACAAUAAUAUGGGGCACCUGGGUGGCUCAGUCAAUUGAGUGUCCCGACUUGGGCUCAGGUCAUGAUCUCGCAGUUCGUGAGUUUGAGCCCCAUCGGGCUCUGUGCUGACAGCUCAGAGCCUGGAGCCUGCUUCAGAUUCUGUGUCUCACUCUCUCUCUCUGCCCCUCCCCUGCUCAUGCUCUGUUUCUCUCUCUCUGUGUGUCAAAAAUAAACAUUAAAAAAAAAAUUUUUUUAAAGAAAUACAAUAAUAUAAUGUGGCAAAUAUAAAUGAUGAGUCUGAUGGAAGGGUGUGUUCUUACAAGUCUUCUGCAGGAAAAUUAUUUUCAAAUAAGUAGUUAAAAAUAAAAAUCAUAAUUUGGAAUUUUAGAAAUUCAACUAACAUUCCUCCCACUUAAACUAAAUUAUCAAAGGCUUAUGGAAAUAAAUACAUUAAUGAAGAAAAUUGUCCUAAUUUCUUUUUUGAAAUUCCCAUUUAAAAAAUAUAAAACAAGAAAUGGAAAAAUGAGCUCAUGAUGGAAUUAAAAUAAUUCUGUUAUUCAUUAGCACAUUUUCUGAACUGAAUACUUUUUAUAAUACAGUUCUGUUUAUAAUCAAAAUGCACUUAUCUAGGACACAAUAUGAAAGUAGUUCACAGAUUUAUGGAAAUAAACAGUCUUCUUAAAUCAAUUUAAAUCAACAAGUAUAAAGUAAAAACUAUCACAUGCUACCAGUGUUUUAAGUAUCUGGAAAAAUACAAAUUAGAAACUUAGAACCUAUCCUCCCAGGACCUUAUAAUGUUAUCAAGCUAAACAUUUUUGCAUGAAUGAAUUAAAAAGUGAAAUUAAUGGCAUAUGAUUUAGUGUCCAAAUGUGAAUUAUUGGGCAGCCUUAUCCAAUGGAAAUAUAAUGCAAACCAUAUAUGUGAUUUUUAAUUUUCUAGUAGCUACAUUUUAAAAAGUAAAAAGAAACAUACUAAGUCUGAGAAAUCAGUGUGUAUUUUGCAUUUAUAGCACGUUUCAAUUUAGAUCAGCCACAUUUCAAAUACUCAACAGACCAUUAUGGCCUGUGGCUACACUUUUGCACAGAGCAUGCAUAGGAGAUGGGAGAAUGAUGGGUAAGUUUCUUCCAUAAAAAUAGCACAAUAGCAGCGUAUGGCUUAGAAACUGCAUCCACGUGACCCUUUUGUAAAUUUAAUCCAAGUUUUCCUUGGUCUCAUCAUCCUGGGGAUACAAAGGAGUUUUUAUUAAUAACAAUUAAUCAAAUUUAAUGAGCCUGUUGUUUUCCUUUGUAUGUCAUGCGACAAUGGUCUGUUGCAAAAUUCUUCACC